GUAGGGAAUUUUCCACAAUGGGGGCAACCCUGAUGGAGCAACGCCGCGUGCAGGAUGAAGGCCUUCGGGUCGUAAACUGCUUUUAUGUGCGAAGAUUAUGACGGUAACACAUGAAUAAGGGUCUGCUAACUACGUGCCAGCAGCCGCGGUCAUACGUAGGACCCAAGCGUUAUCCGGAAUUACUGGGCGUAAAGAGUUGCGUAGGUGGCAAAGUAAGCAAGGUGUGAAAGCAUCCCGCUCAACGGGAUAAACAUGCUUUGAACUGCUUAGCUAGAGGACAAGAGAGGUCACUGGAAUUCCUAGUGUAGGAGUGAAAUCCGUAGAUAUUAGGAGGAACACCAAUGGCGUAGGCAGGUGACUGGCUUGUUCCUGACACUAAGGCACGAAAGCGUGGGGAGCGAACGGGAUUAGAUACCCUGGUAGUCC
rnacentral:rRNA from 1 species